GACGAACGCUGGCGGCGUGCCUAAUACAUGCAAGUCGAGCGAGCUGAAUUCAAAGAUUCCUUCGGGAUGAUUUGUUGGACGCUAGCGGCGGAUGGGUGAGUAACACGUGGGCAAUCUGCCCUAAAGACUGGGAUACCACUUGGAAACAGGUGCUAAUACCGGAUAACAACAUGAAUCGCAUGAUUCAAGUUUGAAAGGCGGCUUUUAGCCGUCACUUUAGGAUGAGCCCGCGGCGCAUUAGCUAGUUGGUGGGGUAAAGGCCUACCAAGGCAAUGAUGCGUAGCCGAGUUGAGAGACUGAUCGGCCACAUUGGGACUGAGACACGGCCCAAACUCCUACGGGAGGCAGCAGUAGGGAAUCUUCCACAAUGGACGCAAGUCUGAUGGAGCAACGCCGCGUGAGUGAAGAAGGUUUUCGGAUCGUAAAGCUCUGUUGUUGGUGAAGAAGGAUAGGGGCAGUAACUGGUCUUUAUUUGACGGUAAUCAACCAGAAAGUCACGGCUAACUACGUGCCAGCCGCCGCCGUAA
rnacentral:rRNA from 1 species